rnacentral:rRNA from 1 species
CUUUUUUUUUUUUUGGUUUUCUCGCAGACGAACGCUGGCGGCGUGCCUAAUACAUGCAAGUCGAACGCUUCUUUUUCCACCGGAGCUUGCUCCACCGGAAAAAAGAAGAGUGGCGAACGGGUGAGUAACACGUGGGUAACCUGCCCAUCAGAAGGGGGAUAACACUUGGAAACAGGUGCUAAUACCGUAUAACAAUCAAAACCGCAUGGUUUUGAUUUGAAAGGCGCUUUCGGGUGUCGCUGAUGGAUGGACCCGCGGUGCAUUAGCUAGUUGGUGAGGUAACGGCUCACCAAGGCCACGAUGCAUAGCCGACCUGAGAGGGUGAUCGGCCACAUUGGGACUGAGACACGGCCCAAACUCCUACGGGAGGCAGCAGUAGGGAAUCUUCGGCAAUGGACGAAAGUCUGACCGAGCAACGCCGCGUGAGUGAAGAAGGUUUUCGGAUCGUAAAACUCUGUUGUUAGAGAAGAACAAGGAUGAGAGUAACUGUUCAUCCCUUGACGGUAUCUAACCAGAAAGCCACGGCUAACUACGUGCCAGCAGCCGCGGUAAUACGUAGGUGGCAAGCGUUGUCCGGAUUUAUUGGGCGUAAAGCGAGCGCAGGCGGUUUCUUAAGUCUGAUGUGAAAGCCCCCGGCUCAACCGGGGAGGGUCAUUGGAAACUGGGAGACUUGAGUGCAGAAGAGGAGAGUGGAAUUCCAUGUGUAGCGGUGAAAUGCGUAGAUAUAUGGAGGAACACCAGUGGCGAAGGCGGCUCUCUGGUCUGUAACUGACGCUGAGGCUCGAAAGCGUGGGGAGCAAACAGGAUUAGAUACCCUGGUAGUCCACGCCGUAAACGAUGAGUGCUAAGUGUUGGAGGGUUUCCGCCCUUCAGUGCUGCAGCUAACGCAUUAAGCACUCCGCCUGGAGACUC